ncrna:unclassified sequences Mu-gpT-DE RNA
CCCUGACAGCCGCAUCCUGUGGCUGACACUAGCCACGACAGGAGUGACUUAAAUG